rnacentral:tRNA from 1 species
GCCCGGCUGGCUCAGUCGGUAGAGCAUGAGACUCUUAAUGUUAGGGUCGUGGGUUCGAGCCCCACGUUGGCGCU